CAGCCGCCACGGGAAUACGUAGGUGGCAAGCGUUGUCCGGAAUUAUUGGGCGUAAAGGGCUCGCAGGCGGUUUCUUAAGUCUGAUGUGAAAGCCCCCGGCUCAACCGGGGAGGGUCAUUGGAAACUGGGAAACUUGAGUGCAGAAGAGGAGAGUGGAGUUCCACGUGUAGCGGUGAAAUGCGUAGAGAUGUGGAGGAACACCAGUGGCGAAGGCGACUCUCUGGUCUGUAACUGACGCUGAGGAGCGAAAGCGUGGGGAGCGAACAGGAUUAGAUACCCCAGUAGUCCCUGUCUCUUAUAA
rnacentral:rRNA from 1 species